UCAUAUGCUCAUCAUCCAAAAUCAUUUCUUGGAAGCCUUCAAAGUCUUAAACUAGGAUGUCAAACUCAAACCAACACAAAACAAGAAUGUCAAACUCAAAUCAACCGCAAACCAUAGAAAUCAAUAAUCGGGCUAAUAUUUAAGUUAAAUUAGUUCAAUUAAAAAGAAUAGCUAACAAGCUCCUAGCUUUCUGGAUCCACCCGGCUGGUCUUAAAACCAUUCAUUUUUGGGCUCCAACAUUCAAAUGGGGCAUCAACAUAGCAAACAUUGCAGACUUUUCAAACUACAAUAUAAAAAAUUAGAACCUUUUUAGUGUCAAUUUUGCAAUGGCUAGGACGGGCUUGUAUCAACUAUCACGCAAAAUCAAGCAAGAUUACUUCUCCGAGAGCACCGAGAUAGAGGCAACUGCAAUGCAAGAAUCAUGAUGCAAAUUUCCUAAAGCCUAAACUAGUAUCAUUUUCCCUUUUUCUUUUUGCUAUUGUCAAAAACUGAAUGCAUUUCAAAAAUGUUAUCUUCAUUUGCUGUUGGAUUGGUUGGUGCGAGUUGUAUAACAACGCCAAAUUGAUUGUAAUUAAAAUUAAAAAGAAUAUGAUUACCUUAAAUAAAAAAGAAAAAAAGGAAAAAGGAAAAGUCUAACCUUUAAGAAUAGUCCCAAAUAUAAUGAAAAAAGAUUUAUGCCUUUGGUACUUUCUUCUCCCGUUGCAAUUCACAGUGUUGACACAUUUUUUUCCCUGAAAAAGUACUGCAAGUUAGUAGAUUUAUCACUAAUCAUAUUUAAUAGGAAACGUUGACAGCUUGAAUUUAAGAUUUUCUUUAAUUUAAUUUGGAAUGCUAUGAACAAAACAUAAUUAGACAUGUCAAUGCACCACAAAUCAAAUUUUCAAGUCAUUUGGACAACUCUACAUUUGCUUCUCACAUGAUAAAACUAUAUAAGUUAAAAUUGCAUAUGAAACUGUAAAAGUAGCAGCAUGUGUUUGAAUAUAUAUUAAAUUUAAAAUACUAAAUAUAUCAGAACGAUACUUUCCAGAUUUUAAGUGGACAUAUAAUUCAACAACAUAUUAAAAUUUGAGGCUAUUCCGAUAUCAUUAGGCUGGUGUUUGAUAGGAUCAAACAUUAAUGAACAGUUUUGUCAAAAUUGCAUAUGAAACUAUAAAAGUAGCAGCAGAUGUUUGAAUAUAUAUUAAAUUUAAAAUACUAAAUAUAUCAGAAUGAUACUUUCCAGAUUUUAAGUGGACAUAUAAGUCAACAACAUAUUAAAAUUUGAGGCUAUUCUGAUAUCAUUAGGCUGGUGUUUGAUAGGAUCAAAGAUUAAUGAACAGUUCUGUCAAAAUUGCAUAUGAAACUGUAAAAGUAGCAGCAAGUGUUUGAAUAUAUAUUAAAUUUAAAAUACUAAAUAUAUCACAAUGAUACUUUCCAGAUUUUAAGUGGACAUAUAAGUCAACAACAUAUUAAAAUUUGAGGCUAUUCCGAUAUCAUUAGGCUGGUGUUUGAUAGGAUCAAAGAUUAAUGAACAGUUCUGUCAAAAAAAGUUACUGCAGAGACAACAGAGUUUGAAAAAUCAUUAAAAAUAAAUUACAAGUUCAAUGAAAAUAAAAUUUUCCAGAUUCGAAGUAUGCAAAUAGAAGUGUAGUUUAUCCAAAUUUCAGCUUAUUCUAACUCUAUUAGACUAUACGUUUGCAAUAUCAAACAUGGUACAUAUGUAAUUUCUAAUAAAAUUGGACAACAACCAACCAUAUUGAGAAAUCCAUUCAAACUCAAAUAUAAACCCAAUUCAUUCCAGAAUUUCCAGAAUUAAAAUGUUCUCAUUUAAACUUAGUUUAAUCAAACUUUCAAAUCAAUUGAAAGUCAUUUAGUCAAGUUCGGAAACAACCAAGUUCACAACAACAGUCUAUCAAUCCUCAAAUUUUCAGCAUAAUUUCGUGAGGGAGAAUGGAGAUUUUUACUUAGGAAAAUUUUAGGUUUGGGUUUUCAUACACACCAUUAAACGAAAUAUAUAAUACAUACUAAACCCAUGAUUGUCGAUUGCCAUUAUUCUUUUAAUUAACAAAUUGCAUUCAACCUAAAUCCAUAAUCACCGAUUGUAAUCAUUCUUUCACUUAAUAAACUGAAUUCCACCUAUAAUAAAGCUGCGUUUUAUUUAUUUUAUUAAACAAUAAAUUAGAUUAUAAGCAACAAAAACCCUAGAUGGCUAGAUUUCCAAACAAGUGCAAGCUCUCAUUUGCACUCAAUAAACAUCAAUCAAUUAACAGAUAAAUACUUAAACAAUGAGAAUAGAGAAUGAGACAAAGAGUUACCACAACACUGAUUCGGACUUUCAAACCUUAGCUUUGCCCAAAUUCUUCACAGCACUUUCUGGGUUCUUUUCAAGGAUAUUUUAGCUUAAGGACGACGGGUUUCAAGGUGUUGACAGAGGCGGCUUUCAAGGGAGAUCGUUGUUAGAGAGAGAAAGAGAGCGAGAGAGAGGGAAGGAGAGAGAAGGAAGAAAGCUUCAGCGGCCGUGAGAUAGAUUUUUGACUUAACAAAAAUUUUUAGGUUUUAGGUUUCAC
rnacentral:lncRNA from 1 species